UGGGGAAUAUUGCACAAUGGGCGCAAGCCUGAUGCAGCCAUGCCGCGUGUAUGAAGAAGGCCUUCGGGUUGUAAAGUACUUUCAGCGGGGAGGAAGGCGAUGCGGUUAAUAACCGCGUCGAUUGACGUUACCCGCAGAAGAAGCACCGGCUAACUCCGUGCCAGCAGCCGCGGUAAUACGGAGGGUGCAAGCGUUAAUCGGAAUUACUGGGCGUAAAGCGCACGCAGGCGGUCUGUCAAGUCGGAUGUGAAAUCCCCGGGCUCAACCUGGGAACUGCAUCCGAAACUGGCAGGCUUGAGUCUCGUAGAGGGGGGUGGAAUUCCAGGUGUAGCGGUGAAAUGCGUAGAGAUCUGGAGGAAUACCGGUGGCGAAGGCGGCCCCCUGGACGAAGACUGACGCUCAGGUGCGAAAGCGUGGGGAGCAAACA
rnacentral:rRNA from 1 species